UACGUAGGGUGCGAGCGUUGUCCGGAAUUAUUGGGCGUAAAGGGCUCGUAGGCGGUUUGUCGCGUCGGGGAGUGAAAACCCAGGGCUUAACCCUGGGCUGGCUUCUGAUACGGGCAGACUAGAGGUAUGCAGGGGAGAACGGAAUUCCUGGUGUAGCGGUGAAAUGCGCAGAUAUCAGGAGGAACACCGGGUGGCGAAGGCGGUUCUCUGGGCAUUACCUGACGCUGAGGAGCGAAAGUGUGGGGAGCGAACAGG
rnacentral:rRNA from 1 species